rnacentral:rRNA from 1 species
GAUGAACGCUGGCGGCGUGCUUAACACAUGCAAGUCGAACGGAAAGGCCCAAGCUUGCUUGGGUACUCGAGUGGCGAACGGGUGAGUAACACGUGGGUGAUCUGCCCUGCACUUCGGGAUGAGCCUGGGAAACUGGGUCUAAUACCGGAUAGGACCACUUCUUGGAUGUUGUGGUGGAAAGUUUUUUCGGUGUGGGAUGAGCUCGCGGCCUAUCAGCUUGUUGGUGGGGUAAUGGCCUACCAAGGCGUCGACGGGUAGCCGGCCUGAGAGGGUGUACGGCCACAUUGGGACUGAGAUACGGCCCAGACUCCUACGGGAGGCAGCAGUGGGGAAUAUUGCACAAUGGGCGCAAGCCUGAUGCAGCGACGCCGCGUGGGGGAUGACGGCCUUCGGGUUGUAAACUCCUUUCGCUAGGGACGAAGCGUUUUGUGACGGUACCUGGAGAAGAAGCACCGGCUAACUACGUG